rnacentral:rRNA from 1 species
UACGUAGGUGGCAAGCGUUGUCCGGAUUUACUGGGCGUAAAGAGCGCGCAGGCGGUCGUUCAAGUCGCGUGUGAAAGCCCCCGGCUCAACUGGGGAGGGUCACGCGAUACUGAUCGACUCGAAGGCAGGAGAGGGUAGUGGAAUUCCCGGUGUAGUGGUGAAAUGCGUAGAUAUCAGCAGGAACACCCGUGGCGAAGGCGGCUUCCUGGGCCGCCCCUGACGCUGAGGCGCGAAAGCGUGGGGAGCGAACGGG